rnacentral:rRNA from 1 species
AUGGCGAGAGGACGUGGCCGCGACCGUUCUUCCGCGGAGGCGACCAGGUCUUCCUCUCGCCAAAGAGCCGCGGCGGUCAAGGAAGAGUCAGCUGCCCAAGGCGAAGGCCACACUCGAGGUGGAGGCGCUGGACGGGGCCGUGGUCGGCAAGGCUGUCGAGGCAGAGGUGGGUGCGGCAGGGGGACACCCGCGUCAUCGCCGUCUUCGUCACCAUCCCCGCCACCGUCUACUCCUACUUCGUCGAGCGGCCAUGUCGGGGACACGGCGCUGGAGUUCAUCCUGCAGCUGCGCGAGCCACCGCGUAGCCGCCUUCGCCUUCCCGAGGCGUUUGCGAGGGUGCUGGAGAUCGACCAGCCACCAAGGUUGAGGCUCCACAUGAAGGGGUGUUGCAACGGCGACAUGUGGGUGAACACAGGGUUCCCCGUCCCUCACGUGAUGCUCCUUCGUCGGGGUUGGAAAACCUUCGCACGUGCCCAUUGCUUGAUGAAGGGGCACGUUCUCUGCUUCAAGUUAGUUGAGAGCGACCUGCUCUCCGUCAAGGUCUUCGGGCGCUCGGGACACAGGUUAGGGUGCUGCGCGGAGAGCUCGACCGAUGAUGAGAGCUCCUCCUCGAGCGACGGCGAUGAGGAGGGGACCAGUGGGGAGGAUGAAGGGGACGGGUCCGACUAG